rnacentral:rRNA from 1 species
CGAAAGAUUGAUCCAGUUACUUAUUAGGAUGAUAUAUAAUAAUAAUUAUAUAAUAAAUAAUUAUAUAAUAAUGAUAUAUAUAUAUAAAUUGAUAUAAAAAUAAAAUCCUUAAAUAAUAAUAUAAUAAUGAUAUUAAUUACCAUUUAAUAAAUAAAUGGAUAUUAUUAAUAAUUAAUUAUUAAUAAUAUUUGAAUAGUCCUUGCAAAAAUUUGUGCCAGCAGUAGCGGUAAGACAAAGAGGGCGAGCAUUAAUCAUAAUGGUUUAAAGGAUUCGUAGAAUGAAUAUAUUAUAUUUAUUAUUAAUAAAUUUAUUAAUAAUAAAAUAUAUAAUAAUAUUUAGAGUUAAUAUAUAUUUAUUAAAGAAUUAUAAUAGUAAAGAUGAAAUAAUUAUGAUAAUUAUAAGACUGGUAUAUGUGAAAAUAUUAAUAAAUAAUUAACUGACAUUGAGGAAUGAAAACUAGAGUAUCAAAACGGAUUCGAUACCCGUGUAGUUCUAGUAGUAAACGAUGAAUACCAUUAUAUAUAUAAUAAUAAAUAUAUAUAUAUAUAAUAAAUGAAAAUUUAAGUAUUCCACCUGAAGAGUACGUUCGCAAGAAUAAAACUCAAAACAAUAGACGGUUACAGACUUAAGCAGUGGAGCAU